rnacentral:rRNA from 1 species
AGUUUGAUCAUGGCUCAGAUUGAACGCUGCGGCAUGCCUUACACAUGCAAGUCGAACGGCAGCACGGGAGGCUUGCUCCUGGCGGCGAGUGGCGAACGGGUGAGUAAUACAUCGGAACGUACCCUGAAGUGGGGGAUAACGUAGCGAAAGUUACGCUAAUACCGCAUAUUCUGUGAGCAGGAAAGAGGGGGAUCGCAAGACCUCUUGCUUUAGGAGCGGCCGAUGUCGGAUUAGCUAGUUGGUGAGGUAAAGGCUCACCAAGGCGACGAUCCGUAGCGGGUCUGAGAGGAUGAUCCGCCACACUGGGACUGAGACACGGCCCAGACUCCUACGGGAGGCAGCAGUGGGGAAUUUUGGACAAUGGGCGCAAGCCUGAUCCAGCCAUGCCGCGUGAGUGAAGAAGGCCUUCGGGUUGUAAAGCUCUUUCGGUGGGGAAGAAAUUGCUUCGGUUAAUACCUGGAGUAGAUGACGGUACCCGCAUAAGAAGCACCGGCUAACUACGUG